CAGCCGCCGCGGUAAUACAGAGGGUGCGAGCGUUAAUCGGAUUUACUGGGCGUAAAGCGUGCGUAGGCGGCUAAUUGAGUCGGAUGUGAAAUCCCCGAGCUUAACUUGGGAAUUGCAUUCGAUACUGGUUAGCUAGAGUGUGGGAGAGGAUGGUAGAAUUCCAGGUGUAGCGGUGAAAUGCGUAGAGAUCUGGAGGAAUACCGAUGGCGAAGGCAGCCAUCUGGCCUAACACUGACGCUGAGGUACGAAAGCAUGGGGAGCAAACAGGAUUAGAGACCCCGGUAGUCCCUGUCUCUUAUAC
rnacentral:rRNA from 1 species